rnacentral:rRNA from 1 species
UACGAAGGGGGCUAGCGUUGCUCGGAAUCACUGGGCGUAAAGGGUGCGUAGGCGGGCCCUUAAGUCAGGGGUGAAAUCCUGGAGCUCAACUCCAGAACUGCCUUUGAUACUGAGAAGCUUGAGUCCGGGAGAGGUGAGUGGAACUGCGAGUGUAGAGGUGAAAUUCGUAGAUAUUCGCAAGAACACCAGUGGCGAAGGCGGCUCACUGGCCCGGUACUGACGCUGAGGUGCGAAAGCGUGGGGAGCAAACAGG